rnacentral:sRNA from 1 species
UAUUCUGCCCUACGGGGAAGGAUGAGAAGCUUCGACUAAGGUUCGACUCGAGCGCCAGCGAGAGAACGUUGCCGCAGGCAACGGCCCGAAGGGCGAGGCGCUUUAGCGCCGAGUUAUCCUUCCCCCACCACCA